rnacentral:tRNA from 1 species
CGGGGUAUAGCGCAGCUUGGCUAGCGCGCCUGCCUUGGGAGCAGGAGGUCGCAGGUUCAAAUCCUGCUGCCCCGACCA